rnacentral:piRNA from 1 species
AUUAUCAGAUCUUCCCUCCUGUUACGUGUC